GCGGGUAUAGCUCAGUUGGUUAGAGCGUCUCGUUUACACCGAGGAUGUCGGAGGUUCGAAUCCUUUUACCCGUACCA
rnacentral:tRNA from 1 species